rnacentral:rRNA from 1 species
GACGAACGCUGGCGGCGUGCUUAACACAUGCAAGUCGAACGGUGAAAGCGGAGCUUGCUCCGCUGGAUCAGUGGCGAACGGGUGUGUAACACGUGGGCAACCUGCCCCAGACUUCGGGAUAACUCCUCGAAAGAGGUGCUAAUACCGGAUACGAAGCCCCCAGGCAUCUGGGGGUUUGGAAAGUUUUUCGGUCUGGGAUGGGCCCGCGGCCUAUCAGCUUGUUGGCGAGGUAACGGCUCACCAAGGCGACGACGGGUAGCCGGCCUGAGAGGGCGACCGGCCACACUGGGACUGAGACACGGCCCAGACUCCUACGGGAGGCAGCAGUGGGGAAUAUUGCGCAAUGGGCGAAAGCCUGACGCAGCAACGCCGCGUGAGGGAUGACGGCCUUCGGGUUGUAAACCUCUUUCAGCAGGGAAGAAGCGAAAGUGACGGUACCUGCAGAAGAAGCACCGGCUAACUACGUGCCAGCCGCCGCCGUAA